CGAGUGCGCGUGAGAAGGGCGCUCGGAUUGUGUGUCGGGUUUCCCAGGGUGCGACCCCUUUUCAACCACUGCUGCAAGGGGAGUGCGGAGCCCAGGCUGCAUGGCAUCCGCGGAAGUAGAGAACUUGGGCCCCAUACAAACAGGUUUUCCAUUUGCUACUGAUUACUUUUGGAACAGCAAAGCAUGGGGGCACGGAUCACUUGCUGGAGGA